rnacentral:lncRNA from 1 species
CUGCGGGGCACGCGGGCCCGAGCGGGACUGGCCGGCUGCGAGUGGGCGGCCGCGGAGCUGGGGCCUGGGAGGGGACGGUCCUGCCGGGAGGAGGCGGAGGCAGGACAGGGUGGGGUUGCGGGCCCGGCGCCGCCCCUCCCGGCUCCUGGCUCCCCUCGCCUGGUGUCCCGCGCCUGGCCGGGAGGCGGCGGGUCUCGAUCGCGCGGGCCUCCCUGGAGGGGCGCGGGCUCUGGCGGCGGGGAGGCCCCUGCUCAGCGCAAUGGCGGGCUUGCAUCCUUGGGUGAUUUUUUCGGGCCCCUUGUGGCCUUUGCUCACGCCUAGAGAGCAAACCACCCGCACCACCCAGGAGCAGAUAAAAUCGAGACCACAGCCUCCAAGGGAGCGCGCCUCCAUCCUGUUUGCCCCUCGGGUCGCCGUCUGAGGGCGGGCCCGUGCCCGCUCAGAGCCUACAUCCGAGUCGUAUAAAGCGCUGACAGCAGAGAAAGCUGCGGCUUUGCUCCGUGCAGAUGAGCAGGGGCUGAGGGAGGACGCUGUGCUCUCAGUAGCCGCGCUUGGCCCGGGGACCCUGCAGGCUUAGAAACGUGAGUCACGCCUGCAGCGUGGCGAGGAAACGCCGUUGAUGUGGCAUCCUCAGCCUGGGGUUGUGGCUUUAAGCCAGAAGGUCAAAAAAAGAAGUCUUCCUGAGCUGAGACUGCCCUGAGUCGCUUUAGGGGCGAAAUUCCGAGCAUCCGGUUGCAUUUCCUGAGGAUGACACGCGUGGUGGGUGUGGACGGCCUACAGGGGUCCAUCCUCAGCGGCCCCUCUGCAGGGCAGUCUCGCUCUCACUCUCCCAGCUGACUCCUCUCAAGCCUGUUAACCAUUGUACACGUUCCCAAGGACUCCAAGCAGGUUGGACUUCAGGGAACAUUGCAGUUUGGGUCUUGGCCAUUGUUUACACUCCACCUUGCAUAAGUGCUUGAGGAUCACACAACCAGAUACGUAGAUCAUCCGUAGAUCAUCGCAGUCACAUCGAAGAUUUGUUUAUAAUAGGAAAAAAAAAAGCUACCCACUGUCAUGCGCUGGGAAACUAGUGAGCUGAAGGAUGACCCAUCUGUAAAUGGGGUGCUCCCUAAUGGACAGGGCACCUUUCAGAAGCCUGUGCUGUGUCUCCUCGACCCCACUGUGAGCUCCCCGUCCCGCACGCUGAUCUAAAUCAAGCUGCUAACCUCAUGGAGAGGCGUCCGCACGGGAGCCCCGGCCCUGAGAUGCGGGGCAGUCACCCAUUCAAUUAGGAAACACCAGCAAGUGCCAGAAGCUUCUCAUUAGCAGGUCAGCUUUCAAUAACUGGUUUAUCCAGGUGUGUGAGACCCGAUAAGCAGAAGGGAAAGCUCUUAGCGACCUAUCCAGCUGCUCUGCACUGGGCUCCUGACAUCCCAGAAAUCAGUACAUCUGUCUUCUGGGGUCCAAGAGCAGGGAGUGUGGGUGUGGCAGCAACCCAGCAUCUACCAUGCCGACCAUGUGCCAUGCCAUGCACCGCGUGUCGUAACAGGACAACAGAGCAAGAGACCCAGCAGACAGGGGUCCCCAGCAACCUCAUGAAGCGCCAUCCACUCACCUCCAGACAGUCUGGGGAGAGAGACUGAAACUUCUGUCUAAGCCACUUCAUCUUUGAUCUCCUUGUUUUUGUGGUUCAGGUUGUAUCUUAAUAAAUAAAACGUGUUUGAGUUCAUGUUUACAUCCAACCAUUAAAAAAGUAUAUUUUGCCAUGAGAUAAACAAUGAGACCCUGCACGAGAUGAAAUAUUUCCAUGGUCACUCGUCAUCUCCUUACAGAGAAUUACUAAGAUUUUAUUAAAACAGUGUAGAUUAUGAGAGUAUGGUGACUCUAAAGUGAAGUUUACAUUCAGAUGACCCCCAGGCCCGCGUAUGGAGCUCCGGUUCUGUAGCUGAAGAUGGGACAGAGGUGCAGGGAGAGCUGCAGUCGCGUUCUCGGAGGCAUGGCCCCGUGUUGAUCGGACACGUCAUGUUCAGUCAGUGCCAUGCAGGUGUGCAGCGGACGGUCUGGCUGAGGCCGGGGGUGCCACGGUCCCCCCGUCUGCUGAGUAGUAGCAAAGCUGAAUAUUUUCCUGGAAACAUUUUGUGCGCCCCUGGGGUGUGCUGCUGGGGACAAUGGGAAGUCUUUGGAACUCAGGAGCAGCGCACGCUUGGUAUUUGUGCUGGAAGAUGACCAGCCACAGACUGGAGAUCAGGAUGGCCCGAGACCAGGGCCACUGCUGACCCUGGGCAGGGAGGACACAGUGUGGCAGAGGCCUGCAUUGGUGGGAUGGGAGGAGGCCUUGCUGGAGAGCUCAGAGGUGGAAUAUGGUGGUCUCAUGUGGCUUCUCUUACCACAGACCCCAAGACAAAGGUGCCCACUGGUGGGAGGCUAUGACCAUUGUGCUGAGUCGCACGACCUGGAGCAUCUCUGAGAGAGCAGAACUCACCGUCCCCACUGCAUAGCUCUUCAGGCCCAGGGCUUUCGAGGAAGAAACAGGUGAUCAUCUUCCACCUGGCAGCUCCCAGGAGACGGGUGGGGUCAGUGGACCCUGUUCGCAGAACUAAAGGCGGGAAGACCGUGGCUUCCAUUCACCUCCUCAGAAGUGAGCCAAGGGCCCUGGGCUGGCGACAAGGACUCUAAGGAGCUUGCGGGACCGUGCGGUGUUCGUGACGACAAGGACUCUAAGAAGCUUGCAGGACCGUGCGGUGUUCGUGACGACAAGGACUCUAAGAAGCUUGCAGGACUGUGCGGUGUUCGUGACGACAAGGACUCUAAGAAGCUUGCAGGACUGUGCGGUGUUCGUGACUUCCCCUUGCCUGUUGUUUUUAAAAUCUUUUGUUAGUUUCUCUGUAGUUAUUGGCAGAAAAAUCUUUAUUCGUGCCCCUGUUCAAGAUUAGCAAGAAAGAGGAAAUGUGGAAAAGCCACAUCCUGUUUUGCAGCCAGGCUUGUGUGUGGUGGAGGGACAGGGGACAGGACCCUACGGGAUGGGAUGAAGAGGGAUAAAGACGGCCUGGGAUGGAGACGGUGGGAAGGCGCCUGUGAUUCCUUAGAGCAGCACAGGCGGUGCAGAGGCUCCAGCUGGGGUCUGGAGGAUGAGGCUGCCAUCAAGCUCCACCAUGGGCCCUGGGGAGGGGUAGGCAGGGCAGGGGGACAGCCAGAGGAUGGGGAAGAGGAAUGGGUGUACCAUAGACCUACGGUGACAUGGAACAGGCACUAGUAGGAAGGCAGCCGGGUGUUUGGGGGCCCGGGCCACAGCAGAUUUCAACAAUAACAUGGACAAAACAUGGAAAGAGCAAAGAAGACAGUGCAGGUGGCCCACAAGCACAUGGAAAGGCACUUAGCUUCACCAGUCAGCAGGGAAAUGCGAAUCAAAACCACAGUGGGUCGUCACUUCACACCCUUUAGGAUGGGUAUUGUAAAAACAAAAACCAGAAAAGAACACGCACUGAUGAGGGCGUAGAGAGAUUGGAACCCUUGUGUGCUGUUGGUGAGAAUGUGAAAUGAUGCAGCUGCUCCAGAAAACAGCACGGCGGUGUAUUAGUCAGGGUUCUCCAGAGGGACAGAACUAAUGGAAUAGAUACAUAUAUAUGAAGGGGAGUUUAUUAAGUAUUAACUCACACAAUCACAGGGUCCCACAAUAGGCCGUCUGCAGGCUGAGGAGCAAGGAGAGCCAGUCCCAGUUCCAAAACAGAAGAACUUGGAGUCUGAUGUUCAAGAGCAGGAAGCAUCCAGCACGGGAGAAAGAUGUAGUCUGGGAGGCUAAGCCAGUGUCUGUUUUCACAUUUUUCUGCCUGCUUUAUAUUCUAGCCGCCGUGGCAGCUGAUUAGAUGGAGCCCAUCCGGAUUGAGGGUGGAUCUGCCUUUCCCAGCACACUGACUCAAAUGUUCAUCUCCUUUGGCAACACCCUCAGAGACACACCCAGGAUCAAUACUUUGUAUCCCUCAAUCCAAUCCAGUUGACACUCAGUAUCAACCAUCACAG